UGCGCAGGCGGUUUAUCAAGAAAGGUGUGAAAUCCCCGGGCUCAACCUGGGAAUGGCACUUUUAACUGAUAGGCUAGAGUAUGUCAGAGGGGGGUAGGAAUUCCACGUGUAGCAGUGAAAUGCGUAGAGAUGUGGAGGAAUACCGAUGGCGAAGGCAGCCCCCUGGGAUAAUACCGACGCUCAUGCACGAAAGCGUGGGGAGCAAACA
rnacentral:rRNA from 1 species